rnacentral:rRNA from 1 species
AGUGAACGCUGGCGGUAGGCCUAACACAUGCAAGUCGAACGGCAGCACAGUAAGAGCUUGCUCUUACGGGUGGCGAGUGGCGGACGGGUGAGGAAUACAUCGGAAUCUACUUUUUCGUGGGGGAUAACGUAGGGAAACUUACGCUAAUACCGCAUACGACCUACGGGUGAAAGCAGGGGAUCUUCGGACCUUGCGCGAUUGAAUGAGCCGAUGUCGGAUUAGCUAGUUGGCGGGGUAAAGGCCCACCAAGGCGACGAUCCGUAGCUGGUCUGAGAGGAUGAUCGGCGACAGUGGAACGGAGACGCGGUCCGGAAGCCGACGGGAGGCAGCAGUAGGGAAGCGGCAGCAAGGGGGGAAAGUCGGACGGAGAAAAGCGGGGUGAAUGAGGAAGGGCUUCGGAUCGUAAAGCGCUGUUAGGAGGGAAAAAAAAAAGUGGAAGGAACGAUGCAGGGGGGGACGGUACAUAAUGAGAAAGACACGGCUAACUAAGUG